AUUGAACGCUGGCGGAAGGCCUAAAACAUGCAAGUCGAACGAGUGGCGGACGGGUUAGUAAUGUCUGGGAAAAUGCUCGAUGGAGGGGUAUAACUACUUGAAACAGUAGACAAUCACGCCUACCAGCUGAUGUGCCCAGCUGGGUUUAGCUAGUGGGGGGGGUAACGGCACACCUAGGCAACGAUCCCUAGCUGGUCUGCGAGGAUGACCAGCGACACUGGAACUGUGAACCGGUCCGGACUCCUCCGGGAGGCGUCAGUGGGGAAUGUUGCACUAUGGGCGCAACCCUGAUGCAGCCAUGCCGCGUGUCUGCAGAAGGCCAUCGGGUUGUAAAGUACUUUCGGCUAGUAAUCGUUACUCGCAGAAGAAGCACCGGCUAACUCCGUGCCAGCAGCCGCGGUAAUAC
rnacentral:rRNA from 1 species